GCAUAAUCAUUUGCCGUUUAAUUGAUGGCUGGAAUGAAUGAAUAUACGAGAGCUCAACUGUCUCAUUUUUACAAAUAUAAAUUGACCCUCAAGUGAAGAGACUUGAAUUCUUAAAAAAGACGAAAAGACCCUAUAGAGCUUUACCUGAAAUCUAUAUCAUAUAUAAUAAAGGUUUAGUUGGGGCAACUAGAGAGCACCUAAAACCUCUCUUCAAAUUUUCUAAUAACGAUCCGUUUUUACGAUAAGUAGAAAAAGCUACCUUAGGGAUAACAGGCUAAUCCUCUUUAAGAGACCAUAUUGACAAGAGGGG
rnacentral:rRNA from 1 species